rnacentral:rRNA from 1 species
UAGUGGAGCGCGCGACCCGAACCGGUAGUAGGUAAGCGAUGGGGUGACGCAGGAAGGUAGCUCAACCGCGGCGAUGGUAGUCCGCGGCCAAGGUUGUAGGGCGAGACGUAGGCAAAUCCGCGUCUCACAUGCCUGAGAGCUGAUGGGGAGCCGAUUGAGGCGAAGUGAGUGAUCCUAUGCUGCCGAGAAAAGCCUCUAGCGAGUGAUGUGGCCGCCCGUACCCCAAACCGACACAGGUGGUCAGGUAGAGAAUACCGAGGCGAUCGAGAGAACCGUGGUUAAGGAACUCGGCAAAAUGCCCCCGUAACUUCGGGAGAAGGGGGGCCGCGGCUGGUGAUGGGACUUGCUCCCUGAGCUGGCUACGGCCGCAGAGACCAGGCUGAAGCGACUGUUUACUAAAAACACAGGUCCAUGCCAAGUCGCAAGACGAUGUAUAUGGACUGACGCCUGCCCGGUGCUGGAACGUUAAGGGGACCGGUUAGCCGCAAGGCGAAGCUGAGAACUUAAGCGCCAGUAAACGGCGGUGGUAACUAUAACCAUCCUAAGGUAGCGAAAUUCCUUGUCGGGUAAGUUCCGACCUGCACGAAUGGCGUAACGACUUCAGCGCUGUCUCAACCACGGACUCGGCGAAAUUGCACUACGAGUAAAGAUGCUCGUUACGCGCGGCAGGACGGAAAGACCCCGGGACCUUACUAUAGUUUGGUAUUUGUGUUCGAUUCGGUUUGUGUAGGAUAGGUGGGAGACUGUGAAGCCCGGACGCCAGUUCGGGUGGAGUCGUCCUUGAAAUACCACUCUGAUCGUAUUGGAUGUCUAACCUCGGUCCAUGAUCUGGAUCAGGGACAGUGCCUGAUGGGUAGUUUAACUGGGGCGGUUGCCUCCCAAAAAGUAACGGAGGCGCUCAAAGGUUCCCUCAGCCUGGUUGGCAAUCAGGUGUCGAGUGCAAGUACACAAGGGAGCUUGACUGUGAGACCGACGGGUCGAGCAGGGACGAAAGUCGGAACUAGUGAUCCGGCACCGGCAUGUGGAAGCGGUGUCGCUCAACGGAUAAAAGGUACCCCGGGGAUAACAGGCUGAUCUUGCCCAAGAGUUCAUAUCGACGGCAUGGUUUGGCACCUCGAUGUCGGCUCGUCGCAUCCUGGGGCUGGAGUAGGUCCCAAGGGUUGGGCUGUUCGCCCAUUAAAGCGGCACGCGAGCUGGGUUUAGAACGUCGUGAGACAGUUCGGUCCCUAUCCGCCGCGCGCGCAGAAGUCUUGAGGAGGGCUAUCCCUAGUACGAGAGGACCGGGAUGGACGAACCUCUGGUGUGCCAGUUGUCCCAAGGGCAUGGCUGGUUGGCUACGUUCGGAAGAGAUAACCGCUGAAAGCAUCUAAGCGGGAAGCUCGCUCCAAGAUGAGGACUCCCACAGGGUUAACCUGGUAAGGCCCCCAGCGAGAACACUGGGUUGAUAGGCCGGAAGUGGAAGCGCAGCAAUGCGUGCAGCUGACCGGUACUAAUAGGCCGAGGACUUGACCC